rnacentral:rRNA from 1 species
GACGAACGCUGGCGGCGUGCUUAACACAUGCAAGUCGAACGGAAAGGCCCUGCUUUUUUGGGGUGCUCGAGUGGCGAACGGAUGAGUAACAAGUGAGUAACCUGCCCUCGACUUUGGGAUAACUUCAGGAAACUGAGGCUAAUACCGGCUAGGAGCUCCUGCUGCAUGGUGGGGGUUGGAAAGGUGCGGCGGUUGGGGAUGGACGCGCGGCUUAUCAGCUUGUUGGUGGGGUAGUGGCGUACCAAGGCGUUGACGGGUAGCCGGCCUGAGAGGGUGACCGGCCACAUUGGGACUGAGAUACGGCCCAGACUCCUACGGGAGGCAGCAGUGGGGAAUAGUGCACAAUGGGCGGAAGCCUGAUGCAGCAACGCCGCGUGGGGGAUGACGGCCUUCGGGUUGUAAACCGCUUUCGCCUGUGACGAAGCGUGAGUGACGGUAAUGGGUAAAGAAGCACCGGCUAACUACGUG